UAGCGCGGUGGUCCCACCUGACCCCAUGCCGAACUCAGAAGUGAAACGCCGUAGCGCCGAUGGUAGUGUGGGGUCUCCCCUUAUCUGUUGUUUGUCGGUGAACGCU
rnacentral:rRNA from 1 species